rnacentral:rRNA from 1 species
UACGUAGGGUGCAAGCGUUAAUCGGAAUUACUGGGCGUAAAGCGUGCGCAGGCGGUUUUGUAAGACAGGCGUGAAAUCCCCGGGCUUAACCUGGGAAUGGCGCUUGUGACUGCAAAGCUGGAGUGCGGCAGAGGGGGAUGGAAUUCCGCGUGUAGCAGUGAAAUGCGUAGAUAUGCGGAGGAACACCAAUGGCGAAGGCAA